rnacentral:rRNA from 1 species
UACGUAGGGAGCGAGCGUUGUCCGGAAUUACUGGGUGUAAAGGGUGCGUAGGCGGGUUUGCAAGUCAGAUGUGAAAUGUACGGGCUUAACCCGUGCCCUGCAUUUGAAACUGUAGAUCUUGAGUGAGGUAGAGGUAAGCGGAAUUCCUAGUGUAGCGGUGAAAUGCGUAGAUAUUAGGAGGAACAUCGGUGGCGAAGGCGGCUUACUGGGCCUUUACUGACGCUGAGGCACGAAAGCGUGGGGAG